rnacentral:rRNA from 1 species
UCAAGAUAAGAUUUCCCACCGCAAGGGUAAGACCCCAGAAAGACUAUCUGGUUGAUAGGUCGAAGGUGUAAGUGCAGCAAUGUAUUUAGCUUAUCGAUACUAAUAGGUCGAGGACUUGACCAAUUUU